rnacentral:rRNA from 1 species
UACGGAGGGUGCGAGCGUUAAUCGGAAUACUGGGCGUAAAGCGCACGCAGGCGGUUUGUUAAGCAAGAUGUGAAAGCCCCGGGCUCAACCUGGGAACUGCAUUUUGAACUGGCAGACUAGAGUCUUGGAGAGGGGGGUGGAAUUCCAGGUGUAGCGGUGAAAUGCGUAGAGAUCUGGAGGAACAGUCAGUGGGCCGAACGGAGCGGCCCCUGGCCAAAGCACGUGACGCUCAUGGUGCGAA